rnacentral:lncRNA from 1 species
UUGACCAGAUGGUGCAAGUAAAUCAGAAUCGGCAUCAGCUAGAUUAGUAAGCUGAUAUGAAGAUAGAUACCGUCGGGCAGGUUGCAAGUGCCAGAGAUAUCAAUAAGUGGAAGUUCGGUAAUGCGAACCAGGAGGACUCUUUAUCAUCACUUGGGAGUCCCCAGUGGGAAGGAUAAUAUAUCACAAUGGAACAUUGUGAUGGGCUUACUAAAGAUUCAUGGG